CAGGCAGCUGCCCAAUGCUGGUGGCGGCGAGCCGGCGAACCACCGUCCCUGCCGACCUCACGCUGCUUCGGCUGCCCUCUCGCCUUCUAGCUCGCCGCUCGUGCCUCUCUAGAAGGCGGGCAGCAGCAGGGGCCGGUCUCCAGCAGGAGCAGGCAGCCUCUCCGUCUCCAGCAGGCCGGUAGCGGCAGCAGCCAGCAGCAGCAGGUGCAGGGCAGGGGCCUCUCUCUCCAGCAAUAGCAGGCGCAGGGCAGCAGCAGGGCAGGGGCCUCUCUCUCCAGACUCUCCGGACUCUCCAGCAACAGCAGGCGCAGGGCAGCAGCAGGGCAGGGCAGCAGCCAGCAGUAGGCAGGGGAAUGUACCUAAGAUGAUCAUUAGAUUGUUUGAUCUGCAUAACGUUGGAUAGCCAAGAUGGAUAGAAGUUGGGUGCAUGCUAGACUGUUCUCUCAAGAUUACAUCAAUGGUGUCAAAGAAUUUAUGAGCUUUAUUCAUGAGAAAUUUGGUGAGGAGGAAGAAAUUUUAUGCCCUUGCAGUAGAUGCCUGAAUCAGAGGUAUCAACAUCAAACUCUUGUGGAGAGGCAUAUAUUGAUGAAUGGCAUGGAAAGUACCUAUACUCGAUGGAUUCAUCAUGGAGAGAACAUUGAUGUAUAUGGUAAUGAGCAUUCUACUAAUGAGUUAGGUAUGAGUAUGACUGAGCAUGACAACCAUGAUGAUGGUAAUUUGAAUGGGUUGCUGCAAGACCUACACACUGCAGAGAAAGAUAAAGAAGAUGGUGAAAAUGAGAAUGAUGCAGAAUCUAGUGAUAAGGAGUCGUUUUACAAAAUAGUGAUGAAAGAGGCGAAGCGUCAGCUUUAUCCAGGUUGUACCAAAGUUUCGAAGUUGUCCUUUGUGGUAAAGCUUCUUCAUAUGAAGUCAUUGUAUAGGAUCUGCAAUUCUGCCUUUUCUGCAAUAUUAAAGCUUUUGGCUGAAGCUUUUCCAGAAUGCAAUACGCUCCCUAAAUCAUAUUACGAAGCAAAGACUCUUCUAAAGGAAUUAGGUCUUGGGUAUGAAUCAAUACAUGUGUGUUACAAUAAUUGUGUGCUCUUCAGAAAGAAAUAUGCCAAGCUUGACGCUUGCCCUGUUUGUGGUCUCUCAAGAUGGGUUGAUGCUGAAAGAAAGAAGAUCCCACAGAAAGUGUUACGAUAUUUUCCGUUGAUACCGAGGCUACAGAGGAUGUUUGUGAACAAAGAAUCAGCAGAACAAGCACAAUGGCACAAGCUAAAGCGAAAUCCUAAGGAAAAGGAAAUGAGCCACCCAGCUGAUGGUGAGGCAUGGCAAGAUUUUGAUAGAGUAUAUCCUAAUUUUGGAAAAGAUGCAAGACACCUUAGACUUGGCCUAGCUACCGAUGGUUUUAACCCUUUUUCUGAAAAGAACACUAAAUACAGCAUGUGGCCUGUAUUUGUUGUGCCAUACAAUCUUUCACCUUGGGCGUGCAUGGAUGAGUCAAAUUUCAUGAUGUCUUUGCUUAUUCCUGGUCCCGCAUCACCUGGAAAGGAUUUUGAUGUAUUCUUAGAACCUCUUAUUGAAGAUUUGCUUGAGCUUUGGACAGGUGUAUGUACUUAUGAUGCUCUAAGUGGAAAAAAGUUUAACCUUCGUGCUGCAGUUUUAUGGUGCAUCCAUGAUUACCCAGCUUUGAGCACUCUUUCAGGGCGUACAACAAAAGGCUAUUUCGCAUGUACUCAUUGUGACAAGCAUCCUCUUUCAUACAGACUACGGAGCAAAAUUGGUUAUUUUGGACAUUUUCGCUUUGUUCCGGUGGGACAUCGUUUGCGUAGAAAUAAUGAAUUUGUUGGCCUUCAUGAAAGCAAUGACCCCCCAAGUAAAUUCUCUAUAGAAGAGUUGAUGGCUGAAUUGGAGAGAGUUAAACAUGUCAGGCCUGGAAAGCAACAAGGAAGUACUAGAAAGCAACUAGAAAGUAGGAAAAGGAAGCAUUCUAAUAUGGACAAGGAUCAUGUAGUCAUUUGGAGUCGGAUGGUUAGUUUAUGGAAGUUACCAUAUUGGAAGAAUUUGAAACUGAGACAUAAUCUUGAUGUCAUGCAUAUCGAGAAAAACAUAUGUGAGAACUUGAUUGGGACAAUUCUUAAUAUACCUGGGAAGACAAAGGACACGGUUAAAGCUAGACUAGAUCUGAAAGAUUUGGGUAUUAGGAAGGAGCUGCAAUUUAAGGAGAAAGGAGAUUCAUGUGAGAUGCCUCGUGCAAGAUAUACUUUGUCCACACAACAAAAGAAGGCCUUUUGUGAAUUUUUGCGAGAGGUGAAGUUUCUGGAUGGAUUUGCCUCCAACAUAUCAAGAUGUUUAAGUACUGAGGGUACCAAGUUACAAGGGCUCAAAACACAUGAUUGUCCCAUUCUUUUGCAAAGAAUAUUACCAGCUGCCAUGAGAGGGCUUUUGGACAAGGAUAUUUAUGAAGCGUUAGCGGAGUUGGGGAAAUUUUUCAGGGAAUUGUGCAGCAAAACUCUUAACAAGGAUGUGUUGGCUGAAAUGAAGAAAUAAAUCCCAAUAAUUUUGGUGAAGCUUGAGAAAAUAUUUCCCCCGGCUUUCUUUGAUGUGAUGGUGCACUUAGCUGUACAUCUACCUGAUGAAGCAUUGCUGCGAGGUCCUGUGCAAUAUGGUUGGAUGUACCCAAUUGAAAGGCGGCUGUAUACUUUAAAGCGCUAUGUAAGGAAUAGGGCGCGGCCAGAAGGCUCAAUUGCUGAGGCAUGUAUUGCAGAUGAGUGCUUGACGUUUUGCUCUAGAUACAUGGAUGAUGUUGAAACAAGAUUUAAUCGGGAACCAAGAAAUAAAGGUUUUUCUAAUGAGGAUGCCUAUAGCGUUGAUGUUUUUGGGCAUGGAGUUAGUUUCACCUCUGCAACUGAACUUGUAUAUGAUGAUACUGCCAUUGAUCAAAUGGUGUGGUAUAUUCUAAAUAACUGUAGUCAGGUUGAGAAAUAUAUGAGAAUGUUUAUAGAAGAAUUAGAGGGAGCAGGGACACCUGACAUUGAAAGAACAUUGCGGCAAGGAUUUCAGACUUGGUUCAGGAACCAUAUCCUAAGGUUGCGGAAUAUGAAUCAAGAAGAGGUUGAUGAUGAUCUAUUUUCUUUGGCUUGUGGUCCUGAUUUAAGAGUUAGAAAAUACUCCUCAUGCAUAGUGAAUGGUGUGCGGUUUAACACCCUUGACCGUGACAAGCACCGAAAGACACAAAAUAGUGGAGUCAUGACAAGAGGUACACAUAACGGCGAAGAAAUUAUUUUUUUUGGAACCUUAAGGGAGAUUAUUCAGUUAGAAUAUAACUUUUAUGAGAGAUCAGUAGUUUUGUUUAAAUGUGAUUGGUUUAAAUUGGAUGGGAAGAGGACUGCACUUAAGGAUGAUGGUUUUUUUAAAAGCAUCAAUCUUGGAAGUCUAUGGUACAAGAAUGAUUCGUUUAUUUUGGCCACUCAAGCAAGCAAGGUCUUCUAUUUACCGGACACAAAGUUCGGUAAAAACUGGUAUAUAUGUUGUCCAGUCAUUUGACCAUAGGCAUCUUUACAAUGUGAGUGAAAUUGAAACUACACAAUAUAAUGCUCCUGCAUAUCAAGAAGAUGAGUGUUGUGAAGAGAAUGGUAGCCGGCAAAUAGUUUCAGACAUUAUCUAUGAAAAGCCUUUAAGUAGAGAUGAUGAACAAGGCCCUAUUUUUGCAGCUGCUGAAAUUGCAAAGUUAAUAAAAGCAAAAGGCCUAGAAGUGCAUGAGAGUGAUAGUGAACAAGAAGAAGAUGAUGACACAAUUUUGGAGUAUUGCAGUGAAGCUGAAGAAGGAGUCGCAAAUGAGGUUGACAGUGAUGAUGAAUAGCCAAUUCUAGUUGGACAAUUUUCAGACCAUCUUUGUGUCCAGUUUGAUACAUUUAGUUGUCAAAUGACAUUUGUAAUGUUUAGUUGUGAAAUGACAUUUGUAAUGUUUAGUUCUGACAUUUAUCAAAAUAGACCAUGCUCAAUUCAGAUGUAUCUAUUUAUUUUGAUGACAUUUAUAUCUAUUUUCAUUCUGUUGCUGUCAACAGUUUCAAGAUUCUGAUGUAAACU